CUGUACUGACAAUAUCCCACAAGUGCCAAGUCCCUGGGCCACUGAGAGGGCAGCACAAUGAGGGACUGAGAAG